GGUAAUGGAACUGCAAAUAGGAGUGGCAGCGGCAACCAUGAUGCAAGUGCAAGUGGUUCCCAAAUAUCUUGGAAAACUAUUUGGUAUUUGUUCGUAAAUUGGUUGAAGUUUUUUGGUGUGAGUAGACAUAACAGUGCAUUGCGCUGUUCAUGUAGUGAGAUGAGGAUGAUCACAAUUCAGAGUAUUUGGAUCUAUCCGUCAUAUUUCUAUAUGGUAAGGCAUAUAUCUCGAUCUUAUUGGUGCACAUUUCUAGAGUAUUUGCUUGGUAUGCAGCCAGAUUACUAUGCUUUGCUUGUUCACACGAUGCAAAUUGAAUAUUGUUAUUGAUUUGCUAGGUUCAAUUAAAGUGAGAGUGAGGAUAAUGAUGGGGUGAGUGAGGACAAGGAAGAUGAUCCAUCAAUGCAAGAUCAGCAAGAGGCACAAAUGCAAGUGGAAAAAGAGACGCAAAUUCAAGUGGAAAUGGACGCACCACCAAACGAUGGCAAUUUGGAGACCCGUAGAUCUGUACGGCUUGUCAAGAAGAAGACCAAGGACGUCAACAGCAUAUACUUGUUGCUUAGAAAUCUGCGGGUAAGUCUCUUUUUAGUGUUUUAUCAUUCAUGAUAAUUGCUUAGAAUAUUUUAGUGACUUGGAGCUGCUAGUUACUUAGAUGUAUGCACUUUCUAUCUAUGCCUAGCCUCAUUGACAUGUUAAGCGAUGUAUUUAUAUUAUCCUGAAAUGUUACCACUUGACUAUUGUUGCACUAGACACUUCCCUGUUAGUCCUACAUGCAUCCUGAUCCUUUCUCUGUUUUCUCUGAACCAGAAAUGCCACAUGGAGAACUAAGGAUAUCAAGAAGCUUUUGGAUGUAUGCAAGCUUGGAGCUGCUGUUUUAUAGGUAUGUUAACCACUAUAUUUAUCCUUCAAUAUUUUUGAGCUUAUGCAUGAUUUUUGAUUCACAUUUUUCACCAUAGAUUUUCCUUCCGUAUGACAAUUGACAAAUGUCUAGUCCAAGCCAACAGCAGGUUGUUUGUGUCUAUGUUGCUUUCUUUGUAUCCUUACGAGUUUUGUUGUGCCGGAGUACAAACUAUAAAUUAGAAUUCAUCAUUCUAGUAUAUGGAGGCAUUUAACCUUUGCUCCUGAAGCUUUUUUGUGAAUAAAAAACUAUAUUGCUGCAGUAGAUUUGUUAUUUGAUUCAUGAGCAUGCAUGACAUUUGACUAUUGUUCUACUAGCUACUUACUUGUCCUGUUAAUCCAUUAUAUUUUUUGUUGCACAAAGUGGUAGAAGAUAAUUCCGAUGCAGAACUACCUCCAUCCUGACCCUUGCUUUGUUUUCUCUAAACCAGAAAUGACAUGUGUAGAAAUAGAAUAACCAAGGAUAUAAAGAAGCUUUUGGAUAUAGGCAAGCUUGGAGCUGCUGUUUCAAUGUCAUGCUUUAAUGGUUGUCUUUUGGAGCUGUUGUUUCUAUCUGUAAUCCUUUUAAGUCUGUUGGCUGUACCGGACUAUUUAAAGUCUGAACUACGCUGUGAUGGUUGAACUGAUGCUGGACUGUUAAGGGUUAUGUUGGAGGCAACUUUAUAACUAAUGUGUGCCUGUUAUGUUGGACAGAUGCAGUUUUAUUAAUCCCUAGAGCUUAUUUGCUGAAGUUUAUAUGAUCAAUCCUGAUGGUUGUUGUGCUGCUAUGAUUAGGCUUUGUUUUAUUUCGAAUUUU
rnacentral:lncRNA from 1 species